rnacentral:misc_RNA from 1 species
UCUUAGCCCCGACAGGAGCGGCAUCCUUUUGUGGAGCCUCAGCGGAACAAAAGAUUACUUCGUCAGUUCGCUUCGCUCGGGUCAGCGGAUGGCGGGAAAACGG